rnacentral:rRNA from 1 species
AUUGAACGCUGGCGGCAGGCCUAACACAUGCAAGUCGAGCGGAGCGGCGGACGGGUGAGUAAUGCCUAGGAAUCUGCCUGGUAGUGGGGGCUAACGUCCGGAAACGGGCGCUAAUACCGCAUACUAUCAGAUGAGCCUAGGUCGGAUUAGCUAGUUGGUGGGGUAAAGGCCUACCAAGGCGACGAUCCGUAACUGUUCUGAGAGGAUGACCAGCCACACUGGAACUGAGACACGGUCCAGACCCCUACGGGAGGCAGCAGUGGGGAAUAUUGCACUAUGUGCGCAAGCCUGAUGCAGCCAUGCCGCGUGUGUGAAGAAGGCCUUCGGUUUGUAAAGUACUUUCAGCGGGGAGGCGUUACCCGCAGAAGGAGCACCAGCUAACUCCGUGCCAGCAGCCGCGGUAAUUC